rnacentral:misc_RNA from 1 species
GCGGGGGGGGCCACAGAGAGACGCGAUGUGAACUGCCCAGAUACAGGGUGAUAACGGAAGUGGACGCGCCGCGCUCCCGAUGCGAGUGUGCAAACUACUGCGCAGGAGAGGCUGCGGCGAGACCGCCACUGUAUUUCGGAGACGGCCACCGCCAAGGCAGGGCCGAUCCCCAACGCCGACCCCCCGGAGGGGUUCGAGGGUUGAAAUGACGCUCGGACAGGCAUGCCCGCCAGAAUACUGGCGGGCGCAAUGUGCGUUCAAAGAUUCGAUGAUUCACUGAAUUCUGCAAUUCACAUUACUUAUCGCAUUUCGCUGCGUUCUUCAUCGAUGCCAGAACCAAGAGAUCCGUUGUUGAAAGUUUUGAUUCAUUUUCGAAACGCCUACGAGAGGCGCCGAGAAGGCUCAGAUUAUAAAAAAACCCGCGAGGGGGUAUACAAUAAGAGUUUUGGUUGGUCCUCCGGCGGGCGCCUUGGUCCGGGGCUGCGACGCACCCGGGGCAGAGAUCCCGCCGAGGCAACAGUUUGGUAACGUUCACAUUGGGUUUGGGAGUUGUAAACUCGGUAAUGAUCCCUCCGCUGGUUCACCAACGGAGACCUUGUUACAUUUUUUUCCUUCCAAAACAUUUUUUUUUUUAC